CCCGCUGAACUUAAGCAUAUCAAUAAGCGGAGGAAAAGAAACUAACAAGGAUUCCCCUAGUAACUGCGAGUGAAGCGGGAAAAGCUCAAAUUUGAAAUCUGGCGGUUCUUGACCGUCCGAGUUGUAAUCUAGAGAAGUGUUACCUGUGCUGGACCGUGUAAAAGUCUUCUGGAAUGGAGCAUCAUAGAGGGUGAGAAUCCCGUCUUUGACACGGACUACCUGUACAUUAUGGUGCGCUCUCAAAGAGUCGAGUUGUUUGGGAAUGCAGCUCAAAAUGGGUGGUAAAUUUCAUCUAAAGCUAAAUAUUGGCCAGAGACCGAUAGCGCACAAGUAGAGUGAUCGAAAGAUGAAAAGCACUUUGGAAAGAGAGUUAAACAGUACGUGAAAUUGUUGAAAGGGAAGCGCUUGCAACCAGACUUGCAUGCUGUUGAUCAUCCGAGAUUUUUCCCGGUGCACUCGGCAGUGUUCAGGCCAGCAUCGGUUUUGGUGGGCGGAUAAAGGCCUUGGGAAUGUAGCUUCUUUCGGGGAGUGUUAUAGCCCUCGGUGCAAUGCGCCCUACCGGGACCGAGGACCGCGCUUCGGCUAGGAUGCUGGCGUAAUGGUUGUAAGCGACCCGUCUUGAAACACGG
rnacentral:rRNA from 1 species